rnacentral:rRNA from 1 species
GAUGAACGCUGGCGGCGUGCUUAACACAUGCAAGUCGAGCGAAGCAGUUAAUUUGAUUUCUUCGGAUUGAUUCUUAACUGACUGAGCGGCGGACGGGUGAGUAACGCGUGGGUGACCUGCCCCAUACCGGGGGAUAACAGCUGGAAACGGCUGCUAAUACCGCAUAAGCGCACAGAGCUGCAUGGCUCGGUGUGAAAAACUCCGGUGGUAUGGGAUGGGCCCGCGUCUGAUUAGGCAGUUGGCGGGGUAACGGCCCACCAAACCGACGAUCAGUAGCCGGCCUGAGAGGGCGACCGGCCACAUUGGGACUGAGACACGGCCCAAACUCCUACGGGAGGCAGCAGUGGGGAAUAUUGCACAAUGGGGGAAACCCUGAUGCAGCGACGCCGCGUGAGCGAAGAAGUAUUUCGGUAUGUAAAGCUCUAUCAGCAGGGAAGAUAAUGACGGU